UACAGAGGGGGCAAGCGUUGUUCGGAAUUACUGGGCGUAAAGGGCGCGUAGGCGGCCUUCUAAGUCGAACGUGAAAUCCCCGGGCUCAACCCGGGAACUGCGUCCGAUACUGGAAGGCUUGAAUCCGGGAGAGGGAUGCGGAAUUCCAGGUGUAGCGGUGAAAUGCGUAGAUAUCUGGAGGAACACCGGUGGCGAAGGCGGCAUCCUGGUUGGAUACUGACGCUGAGACGCGAAAGCGUGGGGAGCAAACAGG
rnacentral:rRNA from 1 species